UGGGGAAUAUUGGACAAUGGGCGAAAGCCUGAUCCAGCCAUGCCGCGUGUGUGAAGAAGGUCUUCGGAUUGUAAAGCACUUUAAGUUGGGAGGAAGGGCAGUAAGCGAAUACCUUGCUGUUUUGACGUUACCGACAGAAUAAGCACCGGCCAACUCUGUGCCAGCAGCCGCGGUAAUACAGAGGGUGCAAGCGUAAAUCGGAAUCACUGGGCGUAAAGCGCGCGUAGGUGGUUCGUUAAGUUGAAUGUGAAAGCCCCGGGCUCAACCAGGGAACUGCAUCCAAAACUGGCGAGCUAGGGUAGGGCAGAAGGUGGUGGAAUUUCCUUUGUAGCGGUGAAAAGCGUAGUUGUAGGUAGGAUCACCAGUGGCGAAGGCGACCACCUGGGCUCAUACUGACACUGAGGUGCGAAAGCGUGAGGGGCAAACAGG
rnacentral:rRNA from 1 species